CUAUAUCAGUCAGUCAUUUUUGGCUUAUCAACACAUCUUAACGAGACUUGAAUUAUCAGAUUCGAGUUUUUAAGCUAUAUACAUCUUCAGCAGACUGCAGUUAACUUGUUUCUUCAACAGCUCGAAGCCAUGGUUCGAUUUGGAGAUUUCAUCACAAAGACGCGACUGAAUUCUAGGGGGAGGACUACUAAGCCAAUCAGGUGGUACAUGACAAAACUUUCUGGUCAUCAUAUCGAAGAUAAAACAGAGAGGUCACUGAAUAAGAAUGUAUCAUUGCCGGAAUGUGACGAUGAGAAUGCGAGAUCAUACUGGAUACCGGAUCCUCGGACCGGAAUCUAUGUCCCGAAAGGCCGUGAACGAGUGGUUGAAGACGUGCCAGAAAAUGCAGCAUCCUUCCAACGUACAUAUUGGCUGAGGAAUGUUGAUGGAGUUGAUCAUCCUAGGCCUGAUUAUUUUUUUAAUUAUUUUCCAGGAGAUAUUUAAUUGCUGAUAAGUGUAAUAUUGAAUAAAUAAGUUGUGCUAUGAGUAAAUAAAGUUCUCGCUAAUAACAAUAUAAAAUUUAAGCUAAUGAUCGUAUGUCUGGUGAUAUUGUUAAAAACUGAUGUGUUCGUUAGAAAACGACAUGUAUUAUUAUAGAAAUCAACUAUUUAGUAUUUUUUUU